GUUGAGGUCUGAAGUGCAUUGCUAUUUGUGUCUACCUUGUCCCUCUCCUAACCUAUAAUUCCUGCACUAAUGACCCUCUUUCUGACCUAUAAUUUCCAAGCUAAUGAGUUACCUGUAUGCCAUUUCAGUGAGAGUACCGGGCAAAGGUUGUGUUGACAUUUCCAUGGAGUUUAGAAGUGAAGUGCAUUGCUAUAUGUUACCUUGUCCCUCUCCAAACCCACAAUUCCUGUACUAAUGACCCUCUUCCUGACGUAUAAUUUCCAAGCUAAUGAGUUGCCUGUAUGCCAUUUCACUGACCUCAAGUUCAAGUUCAUUUUCAAUACCUCAGCUGAUUGAUUCUUGGGGGACUUUGUGAACCCUGACCUCACUUUAUGCUCUCUAUUUUAUAUUCCUUUGGGCUUCUUUGCAAUAUCACCAGGUUUUGUUAGGUUUGCUUGGCUAGGUCAUAACAAAGGCCUUCCCCAGUGUUCUCUGUCUGGUGUUAGUGUGCUCCAUUCCACCCCAGCAAAGGUUGUAAUUCCACCUCUCCACCUGGUUCUCUGUCUGGUGUUAGUGUGCUCCAUCCUGCCCCAGCAAAGGUUGUAAUUCCACCUCUCCACCUGGUUCUCUGUCUGGUGUUAGUGUGCUCCAUCCAGCCCCAGCAAAGGUUGUAAUUCCACCUCUCCACCUGGUCCUCUGUCUGGUGUUAGUGUGCUCCAUCCCACCCCAGCAAAGGUUGUAAUUCCACCUCUCCACCUGGUUCUCUGUCUGGCGUUAGUGUGCUCCAUCCUGCCCCAGCAAAGGUUGUAAUUCCACCUCUCCACCUGGUCUUCUGUCUGGUGUUAGUGUGCUCCAUCCUGCCCCAGCAAAGGUUAUAAUUCCACCUCUCCACCUGGUCUUCUGUCUGGUGUUAGUGUGCUCCAUCCUGCCCCAGCAAAGGUUGUAAUUCCACCUCUCCACCUGGUCCUCUGUCUGGUGUUAGUGUGCUCCAUCCUGUCCCAGCAAAGGUUAUAAUUCCACCUCUCCACCUGGUCCUCUGUCUGGUGUUAGUGUGCUCCAUCCCACCCCAGCAAAGGUUUUAAUUCCACCUCUCCACCUGGUUCUCUGUCUGGUGUUAGUGUGCUCCAUCCCACCCCAGCAAAGGUUUUAAUUCCACCUCUCCACCUGGUUCUCUGUCUGGUGUUAGUGUGCUCCAUCCUGCCCCAGCAAAGGUUAUGGUUCCACCUCUCCACCUGGUCCUCUGUCUGGUGUUAGUGUGCUCCAUCCUGUAUGAAGCUGGAAGGCCUGUAUCAUAAGUUCUCUCUUACUGCCUCUGAUAGAAGUCUACAUUCCUAUAACAUGACAUCCAUAUACUUUUUUUAUAAUAAGGGUUAAGACAGCACCAUUUUAGACUGUGAGACCUGUUUCAUAUGCCCUACUACUACUACUACUACUACUACUACUACUACUACUAUUUAUCACACCAAAACCAUGACUACUUAUUAACUACUUCAAGCUCAACUCAUUUCCUUGGCUCGAGAGUUGUAUAUUAAGUAUUAAGAAUUUUAUCAUAGCAACCAUUCCUAUAGUCUUAGUUGUGUGGAAGUGGAAGUCAGGUGGAGUGGGAGCUUGUGGAGUAUUGUCACCCACUCCGCCCCAAAGAGUUUGAUAGGUGGAAUGCUCACCGCGUGCCGACAGCUUGUUCCCGAAGCCUUGACACGCCUUAACACCCACCCUCUACAUCUAGGCAGCUUUGUCACCCACUGGUCAUUGAAGAGACUGAGGCAAGGGAGAGAUAUAGCUCCUCUUCAUCUUCAUUUAACCCAUCCGCUGCAAUUGUCAGGGAUUUGGCUUUCACUGGUAGCCUGGUAACAUAUAGUCCCAGGUCUUUUUCUUCCUCUGUGGCAGAUAGUGGAGUUUCUGAUGUGGUACUGGUAUGCUGGAUAUCCCUUCACUGGGAGCCUGGUAACAUGUACUCCCAGGUCUUUCUCUGCCUCUGUGGUGGAUAGUGGAGUGUUUUCCAUGUGGUAUUUGUAUGCCGAGUAUCCCAUCCCAAGGUGCAGGACUUUACAUUUUCUCCAUUGAAUUGUAGCAGCCACUUGUUGUUCCAUUCCUG